rnacentral:rRNA from 1 species
UACGAAGGGGGCUAGCGUUGCUCGGAAUCACUGGGCGUAAAGGGCGCGUAGGCGGAUCUUUAAGUCGGGGGUGAAAGCCUGAGGCUCAACCUCAGAAUUGCCCUUCGAUACUGGAGAUCUUGAGACCGGAAGAGGUAAGUGGAACUGCGAGUGUAGAGGUGAAAUUCGUAGAUAUUCGCAAGAACACCAGUGGCGAAGGCGGACUUACUGGUCCGGUUCUGACGCUGAGGCGCGAAAGCGUGGGAGCAACAGG